rnacentral:rRNA from 1 species
CCAGACUCCUACGGGAGGCAGCAGUGGGGAAUAUUGCACAAUGGGGGAAACCCUGAUGCAGCAACGCCGCGUGAGUGAAGAAGUAUUUCGGUAUGUAAAGCUCUAUCAGCAGGGAAGAAAAUGACGGUACCUGAGUAAGAAGCCCCGGCUAACUACGUGCCAGCAGCCGCGGUAAUACGUAGGGGGCAAGCGUUAUCCGGAUUUACUGGGUGUAAAGGGAGCGUAGACGGCGAUACAAGUCUGAAGUGAAAGCCCGGGGCUCAACCCCGGGACUGCUUUGGAAACUGCGGGACUGGAGUGUCGGAGGGGUAAGCGGAAUUCCUGGUGUAGCGGUGAAAUGCGUGGAUAUCAGGAGGAACACCGGUGGCGAAGGCGGCUUACUGGACGAUGACUGACGCUGAGGCUCGAAAGCGUGGGGAGCAAACAGGAUUAGAUACCCCUGUAA